rfam:Myotis lucifugus cont2.29932, whole genome shotgun sequence.
GGCGGUUCUUGGGUAAUGCACCCCAGUAUUGGGCUCCCUCCUCUCUGGGUCCAGGUGUGUCACCCGAGAACUGCA